rnacentral:rRNA from 1 species
UACGUAGGGUGCAAGCGUUGUCCGGAAUUAUUGGGCGUAAAGAGCUCGUAGGCGGUUUGUUGCGUCGGCUGUGAAAUCCCGAGGCUCAACCUCGGGUCUGCAGUCGAUACGAGCAAACUAGAGUGUUGCAGGGGAGACUGGAAUUCCUGGUGUAGCGGUGAAAUGCGCAGAUAUCAGGAGGAACACCGGUGGCGAAGGCGGGUCUCUGGGCAACAACUGACGCUAAGGAGCGAAAGCGUGGGGAGCGAACAGG